CCUACGGGUCGCAGCAGUGGGGAAUAUUGCACAAUGGGCGCAAGCCUGAUGCAGCCAUGCCGCGUGUAAGAAGAAGGCCUUCGGGUUGUAAAGUACUUUCAGCGGGGAGGAAGGCGAUAAGGUUAAUAACCUUGUCGAUUGACGUUACCAACAGAAGAAGCACCGGCUAACUCCGUGCCAGCAGCCGCGGUAAUAUGGAGGGUGCAAGCGUUAAUCGGAAUUACUGGGCGUAAAGCGCACGCAGGCGGUUGAUUAAGUUAGAUGUGAAAUCCCCGGGCUUAACCUGGGAAUGGCAUCUAAGACUGGUCAGCUAGAGUCUUGUAGAGGGGGGUAGAAUUCCAUGUGUAGCGGUGAAAUGCGUAGAGAUGUGGAGGAAUACCGGUGGCGAAGGCGGCCCCCUGGACAAAGACUGACGCUCAGGUGCGAAAGCGUGGGGAGCAAACAGGAUUAGAUACCCUGGUAGUC
rnacentral:rRNA from 1 species